UACGUAGGGUGCGAGCGUUAAUCGGAAUUACUGGGCGUAAAGCGUGCGCAGGCGGUUUUGUAAGACAGAUGUGAAAUCCCCCGGGCGUUAACCUGGGAACGUGCGUUUGUUGACUGCAAGGCUAGAGUACGGCAGAGGGGGGUGGGAAGUUCCACGUGUAGCAGUGAAAUAGCGUAGAUAUGUGGAGGAACACCGAUGGCGAAGGCAGCCCCCUCGGGCCUGUACUGACGCUCAUGCACGAAAGCGUGGGGAGCAAACAGGAUUAGAUACCCGCGUAGU
rnacentral:rRNA from 1 species